rnacentral:rRNA from 1 species
GAUGAACGCUAGCGGCAGGCUUAACACAUGCAAGUCGAGGGGCAUCGAGAGUAGCAAUACUUGUCGGCGACCGGCGCAAGGGUGCGUAACACGUGAGCAACAUACCCGUUUCAGGAGGAUAACCGGAGGAAACUCUGCCUAAUACUCCAUGACAUCAUCAAACGGCAUCGUUUGAUGAUUAAAGAUUUAUCGGAAACGGCUUGGCUCGCGGGACAUUAGCUCGUUGGUGAGGUAACGGCUCACCAAGGCGACGAUGUCUAGGGGUUCUGAGAGGAAGGUCCCCCACACUGGAACUGAGACACGGUCCAGACUCCUACGGGAGGCAGCAGUGAGGAAUAUUGGACAAUGGUCGGAAGACUGAUCCAGCCAUGCCGCGUGAAGGUUACUGUCCUAUGGAUAUUAAACUUCUUUUGUAUGAGAGCAAUAAGGUGCACGUGUGCACCGAUGAGAGUAUCAUACGAAUAAGCAUCGGA